rnacentral:lncRNA from 1 species
GGUUGAGUCUCCUGUUUCAUUGCUACUCUGACGAUGCAGAGGAUUCCCUGGGCCUCUUGAGCCUCUUUCUUUACCGCCGGGAAGCAAAGACAACUCACUUUGGGAGAAACCAACCGCUAUGUCAUGAGGAAAUUCAAACUACCUAUGGAGAGAGGCCCACGUGUUGAGGAAGUAGAGCCUCUUCCCAAUACCACAUGAGUGAGAAAUACUAAAAGGGGAUCCUCUAGCCCCAAUCAAGUUUUCAUAUGACUGCAGCCCCUGCCAGCAUCCUAACUGCAACCUCAUAAAAGACCAUAGCAACGGCCAGGUGUGGUGGCUUAUGCCUGUAAUGUCAGCAUUUUGGGAGGCUGAGGCAGGCGGAUCAGCUGAGUGCAUUAGGUCAUUGCUUGGUGUCCACUGCCUGCAGCAGAAGGGCUCAUCAUUGUGUUCCCCGUGCUCACUCCCAACCAGUCCUGCUGUUUCGGCUCCAAGCAGAGAGGAGGAGGCCCUGCCUGUCUCCAUGACAACCAUGUGUCGUCCAGGAAGCUGCUCAGAGCUAAAGACCUUCUGAGGCGGGGGAGGGGCCGUUUCUGAGAAAAAACUCACCUCGUUUCUCCUCUUUGCAGCGCAAUUUGCUAAAUUGUGUCUCUUUUAUUGUGUUUUUAUAUAAGACUAUUUACACAAAAGUCACACACCCCAAACCUUAUUUCAUGAACAUAAAAGCCACAUCACAAGAAUUUUUCUAGCAUCUCGCACAUAAUUUCACACACCCCUCUCCUUUUUGUGUUAACUUUAACUUUGUCUCUAGUUCUUCAUUAUUACCCUAGAAUGCUUUAAAUAUUAAUGAACAUUCAAAAGCCAAACACUCCCUGGCAAUAUUGUUAGCAUACAUUAUGAAUACUUGAAAGGAAACACUUUUUGCUUUGCUUUGUGCUUAAAUUUACUAGUAUAAUUUAAAACUGUAGCAUUAAAAAUGUCUUACCAUUAGACGACAUUAGACGUAUGUUAUAUGUAUUAUAAAAAACUAAAUAUAUCAAAUUAAUUCACUAGAGGGUGAGCAAUUGAUUUAUAAUUGUCACAAAUCCUUAACAAUAUUUUACACAUACACAUAUU